UUGCGCCUCCUGGUAUUCCGGGAGGCACGCCUGUCCGAGCGCCAUUACACCCCCCAAGCCUUGCUUGAUGUUGGGCCAUGACGCGCUGUCAAGCCCCAAACCUUUAGGCGCCCCCUACUGGCCGCGAGCGUAGCAAGAAUUUAUUUCCCUCGUUCCGCGUGUCCAUUGGGUGGGUCGCCGAUUGACCCCCUAAAUUUUACAAGGUUUGGCCUCGGAUCAGGCGGGGAUACCCGCUGAACUUAAGCAUAUCAAUAAGCGGAGGAAAAGAAACCAACAGGGAUUGCCCCAGUAACGGCGAGUGAAGCGGCAUCAGCUCAAAUUUGAAAUCUGGCGUCUUCGGCGUCCGAGUUGUAAUUUGUAGAGAGUGUCUCGGGUGGAGCACCGGUCCAAGUCCCUUGGAACAGGAUAUCAUAGAGGGUGAGAAUCCCGUAUCCGGCCGGCCCCCUCCCCCGCUGUGAGACCUCUUCGACGAGUCGAGUUGUUUGGGAAUGCAGCUCUAAAUUGGAGGUAAAUUCCUUCUAAAGCUAAAUACUGGCCAGAGACCGAUAGCGCACAAGUAGAGUGAUCGAAAGAUGAAAAGCACUUUGAAAAGAGAGUCAAACAGUACGUGAAAUUGUUGAAAGGGAAGCGUAUGCGGCCAGACUUGUCCCCAGUUGCUCAGCCCGUCUUUUGGCGGGUGUACUCUUCUGGGGCCAGGCCAGCAUCGGUUUGGGCGGUCGGAUAAAGACGUUAGGAAUGUGGCCCCUCUCGGGGGGUGUUAUAGCCUGGCGUGCAAUGCGAUCAGCCCGGACCGAGGCCCGCGUUCUGCUAGGAUGCUGGCGUAAUGGCCGUAUACGGCCCGUCUUGAAACACGGACCAAGGAGUGCAACAUCUAUGCGAGUGUUUGGGUGUCAAGCCCGGACGCGAAAUGAAAGUGAACGGAGGUGGGAGCUUCGGCGCACCAUCGACCGAUCCUGAUGUCUUCGGAAGGAUUUGAGUAAGAGCAUAGCUGAUGCGACCCGAAAGAUGGUGAACUAUGCGUGAAUAGGGUGAAGCCAGAGGAAACUCUGGUGGAGGCUCGCAGCGGUUCUGACGUGCAAAUCGAUCGUCAAAUUUGCGUAUAGGGGCGAAAGACUAAUCGAACCAUUUAGUAGCUGGUUCCUGCCGAAGUUUCCCUCAGGAUAGCAGUAACGUCUUCAGUUUUAUGAGGUAAAGCGAACGAUUAGGGACCUAGGGGUUGAAACAACCUUUAUCCAUUCUCGAACUUUAAAUAUGUAAGAAGUCCUUGUCACUUAAUUGGACGUGGACACUCGAAUGUAUCGUUACUAGUGGGCCAUUUUUGGUAAGCAGAACUGGCGAUGCGGGAUGAACCGAACGUGGGGUUAAGGUGCCGGAAUGUACGCUCAUCAGACACCACAAAAGGUGUUAGUUCAUCUAGACAGCAGGACGGUGGCCAUGGAAGUCGGAAUCCGCUAAGGAGUGUGUAACAACUCACCUGCCGAAUGAACUAGCCCUGAAAAUGGAUGGCGCUCAAGCGUGCUACCCAUACCCCACCGCUGGGGCAGGCUCUUAUGCCCCAGCGAGUAGGCAGGCGUGGAGGCCCGUGACGAAGGU
rnacentral:rRNA from 1 species